rnacentral:rRNA from 1 species
CUGAAAUUCGCCUUCAUGAAGCUGGAAUUGCUAGUAAUGGCAGGUCAGCAUACUGCCGUGAAUACGUUCCCGGGCCUUGUACACACCGCCCGUCACACCAUGAGAGUUGGGAAUACCCGAAGCCUGUGAGCUAACUUAUAGAGGCAGCAGUCGAAGGUAGAAUCAAUGAUUGGGGUGAAGUCGUAACAAGGUACC